GUUGUUGUUUUGUUGGAAAUUGUUUUUUUUUGUUUUUUUUUUUCUAUUCUCUCUCGAUGUCAAAAUC
rnacentral:ribozyme from 1 species